GGUUUCACCAACUGAAGCCCCAGCUCCCUCCUGAGGCCUUGAUAGAAAUUAUUUCUAGUAACCUAAAGACCUUCCUCACACUGCUAUGCAUCUUUAAAGUGACAAGCAAGAGCCUUGAGGGCUUCUCUUCUCCUUAAAGCCUCCAGCCCGGUCUCUACUGAGGCCAACUUCACGUUGGUAACUAAAUAUUCUUCCGUUAAGGUUUGUCUCUGAUCUUCUCUUUGCCAGGGGGAUGGUUUCCUGUUCUCCAUUCGUCCUGUCUGAUUCCCAAGGCCACACAGGGCAUGGUGCUGGUGAAGAAGUCAGGUUUCUCCAUGUGGGACGCCAGCAACCACAGACUGCCUCUCAAAUAAAGAACCUGGAACCUUCAUGCUGAGAAUGCACUCUCUUUCCCUUCCUGAUAAAGAAGGCUCCUGCUCUGGGCCAAGAAAUCCCAAAACACAAUAGUGUUCUCAGGGCACAGGAUUGUAUGGCUCCACACCCUACAGGGUCUCACUUGGUUGCCCAGGCUGGAAAGCAAUGGCACAAUCUUGGCUCACUGCAACCUGUGCCUCCUAGGUUCAAGCUAUUCUCCUGCCUCAGCCUUCCAAAUAGCUGGGAUUACAGGCACAUGCCACCACAACCAGGUAAUUUUUGUAUUUUUAGGAGAGAUGGGGUUUCACCAUGUUGGCCGGGCUGGUCUCAAACUCCUGACCUCAAGUGAUCCUCUUGCCAUGGCCUCUCAAAGUGCUGGGAUUACAGGCGUGAGCCAUCAUGUCCAGCCUGUAUUGCUUCUUGAGUGUGGGAUCUAUGUUGCUUCUUGAGUGUGGGGUCCAUAUCACAUUCAGCUUUCAAAUUUCUAACUUCACUGAACAGAGUGCUUAACACGAAGUAGACACUCCACUCAGUAGACUAGUGGUUCUCAAAUUUGUUGAAACACAGAUUGCUGAGCCCCACCCAGAGAGUUUCAGAUUCAGCAGGUCCUGGGUGAAGCCUGAGAAUCUGUAUUUCUAAUAAUCUCAAGUGAUGCUCAUGCCACUAGCCCAGGCACUUUGAGAAGCACUGUAAGAGGUGUUUGUGAUGUAAAUAAAAGAUAGAAUGGAUAAAAAUUUCCCUUAAAAAUCCUAUCACCAAGGGCUCCAAAAAUGAGCCUUCAAAUGACCAGGAUAAAAGAAAUAUAUUACCAACAUUUACUUCUAGAUAAGAGGCAAAAAUAGAAGCAGCAGAAAAAAAGAAUGGCAAAAAAAGAUCAGGGAACCAGAUGAAAAACGAAAACUAUCAGAAAAACUUUAGGGACACCACUGGUUGGUUUCCUUUUAGCCCAACCUGAUAACUUCUUAUAAUCUGACCACGAAUUAAAAAUAAGUUCAUUUUUCUUUUUUUUUUUUUUUAAACAGAGUCUCACUCUGUCACCCAGGCUGGAAUGCAGUGGCACGAUCUCAGCUCACUGCAACCUCCGUCUCCCUAGCUCAAGUGAUUCACGUGCCUCAGCCUCCUGAGUAGCUGGGACUACAGGCAUGCGCCACCACACCUGACUACUUUUUGUAUUUUUAGUAGAGACGGGUUUCACCAUGUUGGCCAGGCUGGUCUCGAACUCCUGACUUCAAGCCACCUGCCCACCUCAGCCUCCCAAGGUGCCAGUAUCACAGGCAUAAGCCACUGCACCCAGCAAUAAGUUCAUUUUUCAGCCACAUAUUUUUAAAUAUUCUAGGGAAACACUCUGACUCAGUAAAACCAAAAUUGGGAAAUUUUCAUAAGAAAAUAAUCAGAAAUGAAUGUCAAAAUGAUGCACAAGGAGAGUUGUGAAGCCCUGUUUAUAAUAACCAGAAAUUUGGAACAACUUAAGUGUUUGGCAAAAGAAAUUAGAUUCAAUAAAUUAUGGUAUGUCCAUAAACAGAAUGCUAUAAAACCUUUUCAAAUGUCCUUACAGGGGAAUAUUUAUUGAUACAGAAAAGAUGCACGAGACAACAAAUGAAAAAAGAAUCAAGCUAAAAAACAGUUUAAAUAGCAUGAUCUAACUGGACAAAAACCACAAAUAGAUACAGAGAAAUAGAUAAAUAUAGAGAUAUGGAUAGAGAGCUAUUUAUCAAAUUGGGAGUUAGAACAGAAAUUAUUUUUUAAUUUUAACAUUUCGAUUUCAAUCAUUUCUACAAUAAACACAUACUGCUGUGUAAUUUAUUUACAGGGUCUUAAAACAUAAAUGAUAGUCUGUGGGCGGUUUAUUCUCUCCAUUUCUUCUCAUGAAGGACCAAGGAGUUGAACUGAAGCCUGAGCGUCUGUAUAAGCUUUUCCCCAUGCUGCUCUUUUUUGCAAACACCAACACAAUUUGGGCUCCAUUUAUAAGGCAUCUGCUGCACCAACCCUCUUUCUUGGUGCUUACUGGACCUGCUCAGGGUUAAUUUCUAACUCAAAGAACCUAACUUGGAGUAACUCCGUACCACCAGCAAAGCGACUGGCUUUGGGGAAUGACAUUUACAAUGUAUCCACUGUUAUUUGGUCACCCAGCAAACUGUCAUUUUUCAGAAACCAGGGCUGUCUCACAAACUGGCUUUCAAUAAGGUGGGUUGCUUAGCAACUGCCAAGGAAUUAAGAAGACAGAAUAAGGUAUCCGCCAGAGAUAUUUUAUGACCAAAAUGAGCUGCACUCAUGUGUCUGGUUGUGUUCAAGGUAACCAAGUAAGAGAUAACACCCGACUAUUUUUGCAUCAUGAGGAAAAAUACUUGGCUUCUGCCCAGAAGGGCAAUUAUCUCAAAGUCUUGGCAGGCCCCAUGGUAUGAGAAAUGGUAACUGAUAUGGGGGUUAAAAAAAAAAAAAAUCAC
rnacentral:lncRNA from 10 species